GAUACCCUGGUAGUCCAUGCCGUAAACGUUGGGCACUAGGUGUGGGGACCAUUCCACGGUUUCCGCGCCGCAGCUAACGCAUUAAGUCGCCCCGCCGUGGGAGUACGGCCGCGUCGACCUACAAAUGAAUUGACGGGGGCCCGCACAAGCGGUGGAGCAUGUGGUUUAAUUCGAAGCAACGCGAAGAACCUUACCAGGCCUUGACAUGCAGAGAACUUUCCAGAGAUGGAUUGGUGCCUUCGGGAACUCUGACACAGGUGCUGCAUGGCUGUCGUCAGCU
rnacentral:rRNA from 1 species